rnacentral:rRNA from 1 species
CCUACGGGCGGCAGCAGUGAGGAAUAUUGGUCAAUGGCCGAGAGUCUGAACCAGCCAAGUCGCGUGAAGGAUGACUGCCCUAUGGGUUGUAAACUUCUUUUAUAAAGGAAUAAAACGAGGCACGUGUGCCUCUUUGCAUGUACUUUAUGAAUAAGCAUCGGCUAACUCCGUGCCAGCAGCCGCGGUAAUACGGAGGAUCCGAGCGUUAUCCGGAUUUAUUGGGUUUAAAGGGAGCGGAGAUGGGUUGUUAAGUCAGUUGUGAAAGUUUGCGGCUCAACCGUAAAAGUGCAAUUGAUACUGGCAGUCUUGAGUACAGUUGAGGUAAACGGAAUUCGUGGUGUAGCGGUGAAAUGCAUAGAUAUCACGAAGAACCCCGAUUGCGAAGGCAGCUUACUAAACUGUGACUGACAUUGAUGCACGAAAGUGUGGGUAUCAAACAGGAUUAGAUACCCCAGUAGUC